ACUCAAAGGAAUAGACGGGGGCCCGCACAAGCGGUGGAGCAUGUGGUUUAAUUCGAUGCAACGCGAAGAACCUUACCUGGGUUAGACAAUAGGAGACAUCCCUAGAGAUAGGGCUUUGCCUUCGGGCACUCCUAGUUUAGGUGCUGCAUGGCUGUCGUCAGCUCGUAUCGUGAGAUGUCGGGUUAAGUCCCUUAACGAGCGCAACCCUUAUCCUUAGUUGCCAUCAUUCAGUUGGGCACUCUAAGGAGACCGCCGGUGUUAAACCGGAGGAAGGCGGGGAUGACGUCAAGUCCUCAUGGCCCUUAUGUCCAGGGCUACACACGUGCUACAAUGGCAGGUACAAAGGGUAGCCAACCCGCGAGGGGGAGCUAAUCUCAGAAAGCCUGUCUCAGUUCGGAUUGAAGUCUGCAACUCGACUUCAUGAAGCUGGAAUCGCUAGUAAUCGCGGAUCAGAACGCCGCGGUGAAUACGUUCCCGGGCCUUGCACACACCGCCCGU
rnacentral:rRNA from 1 species